AAAAAUUUCUUCUAUGCAAAGAUUGCAGAGUAAUAUUAUAUUCCUAAGAUAAUAGAAGGAUUAAAACAAUUUCCGGUCACCUCAUCACAGCUCCUCUCUACAAGAGAACACCUUGAGACUUCAAUUCUUGAAGGCAAGCCAGAGAGGCAAGAAAGCAGGCAAAAUGGUGCCUUCAAGAUCCUCCAUACUUUCAAUACUUGUGGUCCUACUCCUAUCUCCAUUUAUAGUUUCACUUCCAAUUCAGGAUAGGUUUCUAAAAUGUCUCUCAAAAUAUUCAGAUACAUCCUUUCCUUUUUCCACUGUCUUGUAUACUCCACAAAACUCUUCUUUCACUACUGUCUUACAAUCUUCUGCUCAAAACCUCAGGUUCACCUCGCCUUCAGUACCGAAACCUGAGUUUAUCUUCACUCCUUUACAAGAAUCUCACAUCCAAGCUGUUGUUAUUUGCUCUAAGCAGCUUGGAAUUCACCUUAGAGUCCGUAGCGGAGGCCAUGAUUAUGAGGGACUCUCUUAUGUUUCAGAAAUCGAGAAACCUUUCGUUGUUGUAGACCUUGCCAAGCUCCGGUCCAUCAGCGUUGAUAUUGAGCAUAAUAGCGCGUGGGUUCAGGUGGGUGUCACGAAUGGUGAACUUUACUACAGAAUUUCUGAGAAAAGCAAAACCCAUGGCUUCCCAGCUGGCACUUGCACAAGUUUAGGUAUGGGCGGGCACAUUUCAGGAGGUGCAUAUGGUGCCAUGUUGCGAAAAUAUGGCCUUGGAGCGGACAACGUCGUUGAUGCACAUCUAAUUGAUGUUCAUGGUAGACUUCUCAACCGAAAACUCAUGGGCGAAGAUCUUUUCUGGGCCAUCAGAGGAGGUGCAGGGGGGAGCUUCGGAAUUGUCACCGCCUGGAAGUUAAAAUUGGUUCCCGUACCAUCAACCGUGACAGUAUUUACCGUUACCAAGACCUUAGAACAAGGUGCAACUAAGAUCCUUUAUAGAUGGCAAGAAAUUGCUGAUAAACUAGACGAGGAUCUUUUCAUCAAAGUACUCAUUCAGACAGCUAACGUCACCUCCCAAGGUAAAAGAACUAUUGCUACUUCUUACAAUUCCUUGUUUCUUGGUGAUGCCAGGAGGCUUCUUCAGAUAAUGCAGCGCAGCUUUCCUGAAUUGGGUUUGACACGAAAAGAUUGUAUCGAAACAAACUGGAUCAAUUCCACUGUAUUUAUGGCUUUGCUCCAAAAUAAUACUCCUCCUGAAGUUUUCCUUCAAAGAAAAGACCCGAACAGGCGGUAUUUCAAAGCCAAAUCGGACUAUGCCAAAAAACCCGUUUCUGAAAAGGCACUUGAAGGGUUAUGGGAGAAGUUAUUUGAAGUAGAGAGUCCUCUAGUAGUGUUUACUCCUUAUGGUGGAAUGAUGAGCCAAAUUUCAGAAUCUCAGACUCCUUUCCCUCAUAGAAAAGGUACCAAGUUCAUGAUUCUGUACUAUACCGGUUGGCAAGAUGCAAAGGAAAACGUUGCAAAGCAUAUAGAUUGGACUAGGAUGGUUUACAAUUACAUGAAACCUUAUGUCUCGAAGAACCCAAGGGAAGCAUAUGCGAAUUACAGGGAUCUUGAUUUGGGCAUGAACAACAAUUCUAACACAAGUUUUGUUGAAGCGAGUGCUUUUGGUACUAAGUACUUCAAGGAUAACUUCUACAGGUUGGUGCAUGUGAAGACCAAAGUUGAUCCUGAUAAUUUCUUCAGGCACGAACAAAGCAUUCCACCACUUCCACUGCACAUGAGAUAAAGAAAUUGAAGUGGAAAUCAUCUCCAGCAAAGCUUAGUUGGAUCACUAUUUUCACAAGUCUUGAUCGAUCUUUUGUUUUAAUACUUUAGCUAAAUAAAGAAAUGUCAUGCUGUGCAAUUAUGCUGUCUUGCGGUUUUUUUAUUAUAAAUAAAAGCUUUGCAUUAAAUAGUCCAA